rnacentral:rRNA from 1 species
CCUACGGGAGGCAGCAGUGGGGAAUUUUGGACAAUGGGGGCAACCCUGAUCCAGCAAUGCCGCGUGUGUGAAGAAGGCCUUCGGGUUGUAAAGCACUUUUGUCCGGGGCGAAACGGCGUAGGCUAAUACCUUAUGCUAAUGACGGUACCGGAAGAAUAAGCACCGGCUAACUACGUGCCAGCAGCCGCGGUAAUACGUAGGGUGCGAGCGUUAAUCGGAAUUACUGGGCGUAAAGCGUGCGCAGGCGGUUUUGUAAGACAGGCGUGAAAUCCCCGGGCUUAACCUGGGAAUGGCGUUUGUGACUGCAAGGCUAGAGUGUGUCAGAGGGGGGUAGAAUUCCACGUGUAGCAGUGAAAUGCGUAGAGAUGUGGAGGAAUACCGAUGGCGAAGGCAGCCCCCUGGGAUAACACUGACGCUCAUGCACGAAAGCGUGGGGAGCAAACAGGAUUAGAUACCCUGGUAGUCCACGCCCUAAACGAUGCCGACUAGUUGUUGGGGAUUCAAUUCCUUAGUAACGAAGCUAACGCGUGAAGUCGGCCGCCUGGGGAGUACGGUCGCAAGAUUAAAACUCAAAUGAAUUGACGG